GCGGUAUAGUUUAGUGGUAAA
rnacentral:tRNA from 1 species